GGCGAGGUAGCUCAGUGGUAGAGCAGGGGACUCAUAAGCCCUUGGUCGCUAGUUCGAAUCUAGUCCUCGCCAC
rnacentral:tRNA from 1 species